rnacentral:rRNA from 1 species
GAUGAACGCUGGCGGCGUGCCUAAUACAUGCAAGUCGAGCGAACGGACGAGAAGCUUGCUUCUCUGAUGUUAGCGGCGGACGGGUGAGUAACACGUGGAUAACCUACCUAUAAUACUGGGAUAACUUCGGGAAACCGGAGCUAAUACCGGAUAAUAUUUUGAACCGCAUGGUUCAAAAAUGAAAGACGGUCUUGCUGUCACUUAUAGAUGGAUCCGAGCUGCAUUAGCUAGUUGGUAAGGUAACGGCUUACCAAGGCAACGAUGCAUAGCCGACCUGAGAGGGUGAUCGGCGACACUGGAAGUGAGGCACGGUCCAGACUCCUACGGGAGGCAGCAGUAGGGAAUCUUCCGCAAUGGGCGAAAGCCUGACGGAGCAACGCCGCGUGAGUGAUAAAGGUCUUCGGAUCGUAAAACUCUGUUAUUAGGGAAGAACAUAUGUGUAAGUAACUGUGCACAUCUUGACGGUACCUAAUCAGAAAGCCACGGCUAACUACGUG